AUUGAACGCUGGCGGCAUGCUUUACACAUGCAAGUCGAACGGCAGCACGGGGGCAACCCUGGUGGCGAGUGGCGAACGGGUGAGUAAUACAUCGGAACGUACCCUAGAGUGGGGGAUAACGCAGCGAAGGUUGUGCUAAUACCGCAUACGAUCUAAGGAUGAAAGCAGGGGACCGCAAGGCCUUGCGCUCAUGGAGCGGCCGAUGUCUGAUUAGCUAGUUGGUGAGGUAAAGGCUCACCAAGGCGACGAUCAGUAGCUGGUCUGAGAGGAUGAUCAGCCACACUGGGACUGAGACACGGCCCAGACUCCUACGGGAGGCAGCCGUGGGGAAUUUUGGACAAUGGGGGCAACCCUGAUCCAGCCAUGCCGCGUGAGUGAAGAAGGCCUUCGGGUUGUAAAGCUCUUUAGUCCGGGAAGAAACGGCGCAGUCGAAUAAACUGCGCUAAUGACGGUACCGGAAGAAUAAGCACCGGCUAACUACGUGCCAGCAGCCGCGGUAA
rnacentral:rRNA from 1 species